rnacentral:rRNA from 1 species
UGGAUAUACCGGUUCUCGUUAGAUCACCGAAGUCAAGCAUCAUUGGGCGCGGUCAGUACUUGGGUGGGUGACCACCUGGGAACACCGCUUUGCCG